GAGUAGGAGAGAGCGCGUGAGUGGGAGAGUGGGGCCGAGUGGGAGAGGAGCGAGGGCACUGCUUAGAAACCAUAGGCGAUAGACCAAUGCAGCCUCUCACGCCUUCCCCCUUCCCCCUUACCCAUGCACUCACCAUCGGAUUCGCUCACCUUCAAUUGAGUUUGCCGUAUGAAUUACUCUCAACUAUUUCUAUUCUCCACUAGUUUCUAUUUGAGUGCUUUUGGUGGCGCUCUUUCUCUCACUCGUGCUUGAUAGUGGAAUCUAGCCAUGUAAGUUUCGAACUGCUGCUCUUUGAGUCAAAUUAAAUGCAAAGACGACGAGUGCGAAUAGUUUUGCGCUAGAUCGACGCGUUCAUUUCCCAGCGUCACUUAGCUUCGUUUAGUUCGCCAAGAGUCGCGCGGAUCGGAAUCGAAAUCACUCUAUCGAUUUGGAGUUGGUACAGCCAGUGUAUACAUGUAUGUGUGUUUUUUUUUUUUUUGGUGCACUUUUGGUAAGAAAAGACCAAAAAAGGAAGGGGAAGUGAGUGAGUGUGGUUUUUGUGUGCGCGUUAAUUUUUCGCCCCAGUCAUGGCUGUCGUCAUCGGGGGCUUUAACCUGCGUCGAGCGUUCAACAGUUUGGCUCCCGUCUACCGAUCUCCCACCUUCCUCCCCCUAAGUGCGUUUCGUGUUCGGGAUUCGUGCAACUCGAAAGUCAGACGGCGUUUCGUUUACCAUUAUCGCAGGCAAUUCGCUUCGCCCGAUAAGUUGUGCACCGCCCCACGCCCCCAAGGGGACAAUCAGUUAUUGGCCCGACGCCGCUCUAAUGAACGUUGAACUGCAAAUUGCAAAAAAGCUUACGAAAAUAACAAACAGCGAAAUUCUCUUUCGCGAGGGACAUCCGCGUCGUUUACACACACUCCCGCCAUUUUGGGGGCAUUAACCUCUAGUGCGAUCUUUCUCGCACUCGCUGCAUCUCUAUCUGGUUAGCCGCCUAUUCGGAGAUCACUGCAAUCCACCACCAGGAUCGAAAACGGAAAGAAAUAAAAUGGAUCGCAGUGCAGGGAAUCAGGCAUCGAUUCCGCAUUAGUCACAUCCAUUGAUCACGUCCAAAAUGCGGUGGAAAAUCGCAACAUCUCCGGUGC